rnacentral:rRNA from 1 species
CCUACGGGAGGCAGCAGUGGGGGAUAUUGCACAAUGGGGGGAACCCUGAUGCAGCGACGCCGCGUGGGUGAAGAAGCGCCUCGGUGCGUAAAGCCCUGUCAGCAGGGAAGCAAAUGACGGAACCUGAAGAAGAAGCCCCGGCUCACUACGUGCCAGCAGCCGCGGUGAUACGUAGGGGGCAAGCGGUAUCCGGAUUUACUGGGAGUUAAGGGGGCGCAGGCGGCGAUGAAAGCCAGGAGUGAAAGCAUGGGGUCCGACCCCGGGACUGCUGUUGAAACUGCGUGGCUGGAGUGCAGGAGGGGCAGGCGGAAUUCCUGGUGUAGCGGUGGAAUGCGUAGAUAUCAGGAGGAACACCGGUGGCGAAGGCGGCCUGCUGGACUGCAACUGACGUUGAGGCCCGAAAGCGUGGGGAGCAAACAGGAUUAGAUACCCGGGUAGUC